UACGAAGGGGGCUAGCGUUGCUCGGAAUUACUGGGCGUAAAGGGCGCGUAGGCGGAUAUUUAAGUCAGGGGUGAAAGCCCGGGGCUCAACCUCGGAAUUGCCUUUGAUACUGGAUAUCUUGAGUUCGGGAGAGGUGAGUGGAAUGCCGAGUGUAGAGGUGAAAUUCGUAGAUAUUCGCAAGAACACCAGUGGCGAAGGCGGCUCACUGGCCCGGUACUGACGCUGAGGUGCGAAAGCGUGGGGAGCAAACAGG
rnacentral:rRNA from 1 species